AGCCACCGUCCUUGGCCGAGGGGCCGCCCCAAGACGCACCGCGUACUCCCCGGCCAGGGCCCGGGCAGAUUAGGACCACCACCCGAUGAGGCCCUGCCGGCUCGCCCUGCGGUCUCCCCACCCGCCGCUGUGCACCCUGGCACCUGCACGGAGUCAUUUUUACCCUAGGCCGACCUGCACCAAAGGCGCGGAUGCAGCACCCCUGGACGCCGUCAGCCACCCCCCUCCAGCUGUGACAACCAAAAAUGCCUCCAGACAUUGCCACAGAACUGCGCCCACUCCCCUGCGGCCCUCUCGGUUCACAAAUGGGCAGACUGCACCCCACAGGGGAAGGGGGCUCGCUUAGAGCUGCGCUGACCCGGGAUGGCCGCGCUGAGGCUCGGCCUCCCAACACCCCAGCGGUGCUCAGACCCCCUCUACCUGGAAGAGGGCUGAGCACGCCCUUGAGAGACUGUCCACUUAGGGGGCAGCCAGGGUCCCAGGCCCGGGGGUCUCAUGGUCAGCUCCCGUGUCUACACUUAUCCGAAGCCUCCGAGCAGCGAGAGGAGAGGUCAGGCUCUGGCAGCCGUGUGCACCCCCAGUCCCUCCCAGAGCCCCGGACUGGAGAGGGCGGGCCGGGCAGCGGGGAGCGCACGCGUGGAAGUGGUGCGGCCAACGGCUAGAAGGCUCUGGAGUCUCUUACAGAGACACGCUAGCAAAUGGACGCACCACUGUCUCAACAGCAGCGGAAGUCAGGUUCGGAAGAUCACUGGCGAAUGCCGUGGGGAGAGGAAACACAUUUAGAACUUUCUCCAGCUCCGUGCAAAGUGUGCCGUUAACGACAGCGUGGUUACGAAACAGAGGCCGGCUGGGGGCACAGGUGUCACUCGGGUGCCCUGCAGCCGUCCAAGCUAAGUGCAAAGGGAAAGAAACCCCACCACACAGGGAACAGCGGGCUCUCCGGGAAGACCGGGACCCACCCACGGGGGUGACGUGUCAGGCGACGGAGUCUAAAGGGCAUCCGUGGCUCUGGCCCCGGCAGAGGGACGGUCAAAUGAACAUCACGGCCCCUCUCAGGACUGGCAAAACCUGACUGGAACCAUCGAAGGUUUGUCCGAGACUCUUAAUUAUUGACCUCUUCAAAAGCUGCUCUCCAGCCCCCUCCGCCGCAAGCAAUGAGCCUCUGACUGUUGAGAUCAACUUCCAGUUUGUGGACUUCGGCUCAGUCAGCGGAGAAGCCUCCUUCCCCUCCCUCCUCUCCCCUCCGCUCCCCUGCACUGGGCCACUCUCGUGGGAGGGAGGGAGAGCGGGGAGAAAGCCCUUACAAGCCAGGUGUCCUUUCUCUCCCAAUCUCCCGAGCUGACGGAGCCCCAAAGUGGAAUUCUGCACACGCCUGCCCAGCCCUUGACCCUCACCAAAGCGGGGGCAGAGGUCACAGGGAGAGAGACGCCCGGACAAUCAACUGGAUGGAUCUGGGAGACGAAGCUCCCGAGUGCGGCCAGCCGUGCGCUGUGCGGCCCUUGCGGAGGCGGGCGGACGGUCCUGCUCCCCUUCCACAACGUGACGGCAGCCGGACUAACGGCUGCUAAGAUGCUUUCCAGCUUGAGAAAGAAAAAAAGCUGCUUCAACAUGAGGCCAGAGCCGGUUUUGCUCGGAUCCGCUACAUGCGUGCUGGUCACAACGGUUCAGACUCGGCCACUGAAUGCACGCCGGGCGUCGUGGACCGCCUCCUCCAGGCACAGCAGAGAAGAGCCCCUAAAGCAGGCAUCCGGGCAGCACCCGGGAGCCCAGGGUGGCCCCGCGGGCCGGGAGCCUGUGGCGGACACGGAGAGCCACCACUGCCACGGCCGGGACAGAAUCGAGGCGGGGGAGCUGGAGGCGCACCGCGAACAGGGACAGACCGCGCGAGAGGCCGGUGGGCCUGCGGGGGGCACGCUUUUCGGUGAGACCUCCAAAAAGCUCAGCGUCAAGGAGGGCGCCUGGGUGACUGACGAGUCCAGACCGUUGGGGUUUAGUUACGAAGGGUGAUGACCUGAGAGGGGCUUAAGAACAUGAUUACAACUCUGAGCACAGCGGUCCCGUCACACAGCCACCUGCAGCGCUCGUGCACUGAGUUCUGAGGACGCAAGGGCCUCAGGAAAGCCGGCUGCCAUCUUGGUUGGGAACUUUGAAGGGGCAGACAAGGGCGUCCGCCCUUCUGGUCGCCAGGGACCGGGGCCGCCCUUCUCGAGGGCCACCUCAAGCCUCCACAUCCCAGAAGAUCAGAACUUGUGGCCAGACGGCUUCCCUCACAGCAGGCUGAGUCAGGGCCAGAGCAAGAGUUCGGUGACUCACACGAGUCUACCAUGACCCCAGAGCUCCCCCAGGGUGCUGCUGUGUGAGUUCACGCUGCACCUCCACGUACGGGGACAAGUGUCAACUGGCCCUGGAGAUGACCUGGCUUCCUGCACCAGAAAUCCACGUGACCAAGAGCCUCAUCGUAGGAGAGCGGUGACAAGUCGCAUGCAGGAGAGCACAGCUGUGCCUCGCUUCCCAGCCCCCGCCCCCAGUGUCUCCACCCCGCUCCCCAGAAGAGGCGGGAUGGCUCUUCCUAACCUCCUAAGAUGGGCAGGCGGGAGAGAACGUGCCCUCUUUGCCCUCUCCCCUUGCUCCUGCUUGUGUGGGGCAGGAAGGCCCGGCAGGGCAGGGGGCACAGAGCAGAGCAACAGGACAGCGAUGCUGAGGACCCCUCGCCGUUACGAGAGCCCCACUCACGCCCAACAGCUGUCUGAGCACUGUCAGUCCGGGGCCCGGUGGGCCCACUCACGGUCUGUCAGGCCGCCCGAGCUACCCAACGCCGGACCGGAGGCCCAGGGGAGCUCCCAAGACUGGCUCCACCGUGCCAAAGGACGGGUAAAAUCACCAAAGGCCACCUGGAGGGGCAAGGUCCCAUGCAGCUUAUCGGUCACCCUGGCGACAGAUGAGACGUCAGGCCCAACCCAUUAGGUGCUAAUACUCCGGUUCACUGGCGCGGAUGCACCUGGCAGUUAGGCUCCCCCGAAGGGCAGCGAGCCCCAGCUUUGGACACAGACGUAACCGUGGAUCGCUGAGUUCCUUAGCCUCUGGCCCCUCCUGACCUGGUCUCAGAUGGCUUCCGAAUGCCUGGCUCCUGCAGGGGCACGCUCAGCAUUUUCUCCUGCGCCUGGCUUCCUGGCUGCCCGGGGCAAGGAGCCUGAGGCCGGGGAUGUAGCUCCAAAGAAGCCUGCCAGUCAGGGCGAAUCGGGCGGCUGCCCCUGCGCUCUCACCCCUGCGGGCCUCGAGGGGAGGCUGCGAGGCAGCCAGGAGGCGAGGAGCCCAGCCUCCAGGACCCAGAUGUGGGCUCAGAACUUCGGCCUCCGAUGCGCCACGCAAGCCCGCCCUCUCCACGCCUGACCGUGGGGACGCUGUGGCCGGCCUGGCGCGGUCGAGGGGAGCACAGUGCUGAGGACCUGGCCCGGAGCUCCUGUCUCUUACUGUAACUACUGGGGGACACAAUGGGCUCCACAGGUGCUGCUCUCAGCAACCUACACUUCCUGGCCAGCACCUGUCACUUGAGUUUUGCUUUCGUUUUCUGAAGACGGGGUUUGAAAAAACGGGUCUGUCGUGUUACCAAUGGGUGACUUUGAUGAUACCCCAUGCCCUUCGAAUGAGCUCAUUUUCACUCUAAAAGCCCAGGCUCCAGCAUCUUUACUACUGGCCGCUUUGCCUUAAUAUCACGGGGAUAAAUGUUGAAACGGCAGCUUGGCCACAUGUUAUCCACAGGAAGCCGUCACUUGGGCUCUGCGCUCUCUUCUCUGCCCACGGCCUCCCGUGCCGAGCCCGCCUAUGGCAAAAGAUGCUGCUGACUUCGGUUUUGAAGAGGACAAGGGCCACUCGAGGGCCACAGCCCUCCCGAGUCACCCACAAAAGGGCAUGGAAGGGUCUUUUGACAUCGAAUGCCACCAAGGUGGGCCCUGAAGCUGACAGGAAGAGCCGCACCGCCUGACAAGACACAGCCCUGGGCCACCCGGGGUUUGAUUCUGAACACCGGCCUCCGGAAGCUCGAAGUGCCAGCCAGGAGGCUGGGUUUCCCCCCAGGGCCCGGCCCCAGGCAGUAACUUGGCGCAGACAGACCCUGUGUCCCUGCGUCCCCCUGAAGGGCCUUUCCGGUUCCAAGAUCCUGCAUCUUUCAUUUAAGCAAAAUGCAUGGAGAAAAACAAAAGAAAAGAUUACAUAUACAGAUUUUGAACUUUUUCUUUCUCUGGAGGAAAGUUGAUCGUUGGAUAAUUGGCAGCAGCCUGGCGAGAGACAUUUUAUCUAGAUUUGGUUAUGAAACGCUUGCAAGAUCAGGGUCCUCCGGACUGAAGGGUGCGGGCACAGAGCUCUCACGGCCCCCUCGCGUGGCAGGAGCCAUCUUCUUAGGGAGUUUCUACUUGGGGGAAAUGAAAUCGGGUCACGGAAACCGUGUCACUGAAAAUGGCCAGGGAAGGCCUACGUGACUCUUGAGGGCUCUGCGUAUGACCGGUGUUGGUGAACGGUGCCCUUUUCACAUGGUCUCUGAACACAAAAUCAUGCCCUUAGCGAAAACCAUUUCUCCAGGUUGACAUACCUCUCCCCCAAGCCGGUUUUACAAGGAGCCACCAUGCAUCCCCCUCCCGCGCCCGGACGCCAGACAGACCGCACCCCUCCGGGGGAGCGUGGAAGACGGAGCUCGCCCAUCCCGGCUCCGAAAACACGCCUCCGUGCUCUUCACCCACACAAACGCACACGAGCCGCCCAAUAAACCCACGCUUUCGAGUUUUGUUGCUCAGUGCCACCCCCAUAAAACUGAAAAAUUUAACCUCACUACUUUUUGAACCUGGCAAAAACCACAAGCCCGUUAAGUACACCAAGGAAAGAAGUGGCCACUGGGCAGGACACGGCUCUGCCUCCAGGGAUAAGCCUGGUCCCCUGCAGACAUAACGGGUGACUUUCACACUGGACGAUCCAAGCUCGAGGGAAAGAGCCGGGAAGCUCUGUCCUUUCCCCCUUCUACGAUCUGAUUCUGUCCCUCUGGUCUGUGUCAACUGCCUGUUUCAGGAGCUUCCCCGGUGCUCAGAAUCGCUCUGUAAACUCCAGAAGGGGGGAAAAUAAACCCCGGAAGAGAGGCUUCCCCUCCUCCCA